UUAAAAAGCAAGUCCCAGAAGAAGUGCCCUGAGCUAUAGACACUGUAAGACACCGUUUGGAAGGAGCAAAACAGUUAGGUGAUGGGUGACAUAGAAGGCCUCGACAACGCAUCCAGCACGGUGCCCUGCCCGGCUCAGAGCUCUGACAAACAGAGGGAGGACAAAGGAGGCGACGCUCUCCAGCUACGGAAACGAAAGAAACAAUUCUGGCGGUCCCAUCGUGUUGAGCCAAUAGGAGGAAACAGGUGUGACUCCAGUUUUGCACUACAAGACCUCAAUCAAUGACACCAGAUGGAAGAGAGAAUAAACACUGAGUCCUCUUAUUGAUCAUUUAGCAAUGCACUGCAGAAGUUAUGCAUUCUGAAUGUUACUUUUCCUGCUCUUUGUGUUAAAAUCAGCGUUUAUUAAUCUGACAACAGCUCUCAUCACCUGUUUGUUUUUUAGUAGUUACAAAAAACAUCCCCCUGUUCUGUGUAUUGUGUAGUACUUCAAAGAAUCACAGUGAGAAAUGCACUGUACUUUUCACUCUUGAGACCCUGUGCAAGUAAACAUAAAUGGUGUAUGUGAACUGAUAAGCCAUCUGUGACCUAAUAAAGCAAAUAAAUACUUCACCAC
ensembl:lncRNA